rnacentral:rRNA from 1 species
GGCGAGAGCUGAUCCAGCCAUGCCGCGUGCAGGAAGACGGCCCUAUGGGUUGUAAACUGCUUUUAUACAGGAAGAAACACCCCGACGUGUCGGGGCUUGACGGUACUGUAAGAAUAAGGAUCGGCUAACUCCGAUGCCAGCAGCCGCGGUAAUCAGAAUA